rnacentral:rRNA from 1 species
GACGAACGCUGGCGGCGUGCUUAACACAUGCAAGUCGAACGGGCCCGCUCUCUUUUUUGGGGGUGGGUUGAGUGGCGAACGGGUGAGUAUCACGUGAGUAACCUGCCCCCUGCUCCUGGAUAACUGCUUGAAAGGGCGGCUAAUACGGGGUGUGCCGGCUGGUCCGCAUGGGCCUGGUCGGGAUAGUUUCAUCUUCGGGUGUUUCGGUGGGGGAUGGGCUCGCGGCCUAUCAGCUUGUUGGUGGGGUGAUGGCCCACCAAGGCGGUGACGGGUAGCCGGCCUGAGAGGGUGGGCGGCCACACUGGGACUGAGACACGGCCCAGACUCCUGCGGGAGGCAGCAGUGGGGGGUAUUGCACAAUGGACGGAAGCCUGAUGCAGCGACGUCGCGUGAGGGAUGGAGGCCUUCGGGUUGUGAACCUCUUUCUCCGGUGGUGAAGGCCCUGUCCGUUGCGGCGGGGUUGACGGUGGCCGGGUAUGAAGCGCCGGCUAACUACGUG